rnacentral:tRNA from 1 species
GGUUGUGGCUCAGAGGUAGAAUGCUCGCCUGGCAAGCAUGGGGCACUGGGUUCGAUACUCAGCACACCA